UACGGAGGGUGCAAGCGUUAAUCGGAAUUACUGGGCGUAAAGCGCGCGUAGGCGGCUUGGUCAGUUGGGUGUGAAAGCCCCGGGCUCAACCUGGGAAUUGCAUCCAAUACUGCCAAGCUAGAGUACGAUAGAGGAGGGUAGAAUUCCUAGUGUAGCGGUGAAAUGCGUAGAUAUUAGGAGGAAUACCAGUGGCGAAGGCGGCCCUCUGGAUCGAUACUGACGCUGAGGUGCGAAAGCGUGGGGAGCAAACAGG
rnacentral:misc_RNA from 1 species